UUUAUUUUGGUAAAUUGUCCACAUUAAACACAGGAAACAAACAAUAAACAAACCCAUAAGGAAUAGGCUGGAACCAAGCUUAUUCUUUCCUAUGCCAUUUUAUACCUAACAACCAACCAAGAUAUCUUCACAAUACAUAUAUAAAUCUAUAUAACAGCAUAAGAUUUUUAUCAUUUUACAUUUUAAAGCUCUUUUAAAGCUCACCAAGAAAGAACAUAACUUAUCAUAUCAUUCAAUUCAUUCCACAGUUUCACACCAAUACCGGAAACAAACACAUCUACACUUUAAUCUGGCUCUUCUCUUUUGCACAUUCAAAUAUAAACAUACCUCGCAAAUUAUAUUUAUUCUCUCUUAGCUUAAAUAAUUUCUGAAUACCAGAAGGAAGACUUUUGUUCAACGCUUUAUACAUUAUUUCCAGUAUUUGUAUAUAAACAGCAUCUUUAAAUUUUUAAUGUAUUACUUUGAAUGAAGAGUUUAUCGGUGGGUUCACGGUAUCCCACCUUAUUAAUAAGCCUUAUAGCUUUUUCUGCAACUUAACUAUUAUAUCAAUGGUUGUUUUACUUGCAUUUCCCUGCAAACAUCACUUCUUGAAUAUCAGCAGUCUUUCCUCCUCAGCUUAAUUUAGCACUACUUUACGUUCAGAAAAAAUCACAAUAAAAUACACUGAAGCUUGUCCUUAAAAUGUAGCGGACCAUGGAAUAGAUCAAGGGGUGUGAAUAUUUUUUGCAAGCCUUUAAAGAUGCACAGCGUAAGCAGUGUAGGACAUCGUUUUUCCUCCCAUGCUGUGUGAUUUCCACCUUUAUCAGCCUCAUAAAAAGGUGACCUUUCUAUGAAAUAAGCACAGGCGAUCCCUCACAUGAAGUUAAUUCCAUGUAACAUGAUCCAGGUGUUAGCUUUGAAUACCAAUGCUGCUGUCUACUUCUCUUUUUUUUAUUAUUAUUAUUUAUUUAUUUAUUUUUUUUACAGGCCUGCAACUUUACCCUCAGAGCAGGAAAACUUUACCCUUGGUGAUGCCGACUCGAAUUCAAAGGUGAACGGAGCUGGAGGACAUCUUCAAAGCGGUCGAGGACAUCACAGGAAAGCCAAUGAGGCGCGUUUGCCCUCCUCCGACACCCUCGGAAUGCAUUCCAUGUGCCUCCCCUGCAACGCGAUACACCGUCAGAGGGAAGAAAGAAAAAAAAAAACGAUGCCAUUGGAGCCUGCUGCCAUUAAUUUGAUUUACAUGGGGUUUCAGUCGAAGGCUGACGGAAAGAAAAAAAUAAAAAUUGGCAGUGUCAGCGAAUUUCAGUUAAAUCUGUAAAAAAGACCCAAAAAGGACAGGUGAGGAAGAAGGACGUCGAUGGCGGCGCUCACAGGGGAGGACGGCGUUAAAUCAGGUGGAGAGUGAAUGCAGAGGUAGCAAACGCAACAUCCUGAAAAAAAGUAUUUUUUGCCUUUUGGAUAUUUUUAGGGUUUUUGUGGUCAGAUCAGCACGGCUGGUUAUGUUUUUCAAUUGGCUUAUCUUGGAAUUUGUUCAUCUGAAAAGUGCAGCAUUCGUUAGUAUUCAUCACAUACACCAAACACUUAUUAAAACAAACUUAAGCUGCAAUUACAGCAGGACAUAAUUUGAGGUUAAUCUAUGAGCUUUUUAACAUCGGGAGAUUUUUCAAAGUUUCUAAUUCUUAAUUGGAUCUACUCCUGAACUUUAACUAGGCCAGUAAGCGACUAAAACGCGGUUCCACCUUAUCCAACGUAGCUCGGACGGAAUCUUAAAAAAGCUGAUUUAAUUUCUUACAUGUAAUUGAAUGAAGUUUGUCAGACUUACUUUAUUAACAUUUGUUUAACAUAACUUAGGCUUAAUAUACUUACUUGGAUAAACAUAAGUUGAUUGCUUGUCACAAAUUAACUCAUUUUUUAAAAGCUGGAUUAGCUAGUUUCUUUUCUCAGUGAACCCCCGUCUUAAGAUUUUUAUAGCCGCUAACAUAUUUUCGUCCAAGGUCCCACGCAUCCUAGUAGUUUUUCUGGCAACAGAUUAUUCCACCUGAGCUGUGGAAGAAUAACUAUCUGUUAACUAACUGUUUAGUUAAUGCCAAUCUCUUAGUUUGCUUUUCUCUGCAUUAGCAUUUUGCAUGCAGUACAAGAAUUUCAUCUGUGGUCUCAGCAGAGCAGAGAGCAUACUGUUCACCAGUGUCCUCCAGUGAACCUCUCAGAUUAAGGGUGUUUUCACUUCUGACUCAAUUGGGGUCUAAAAUUGCAACAUCUCUCAUAUUUUCAGCUUGCGCCGUUCUCGUUUACAUUCCAUUGUGCCAAACGAACCAAACCGUUUGAAAAGCAUGUUUACCUCCUCACCUGUGGAACUACUGAAGGGGACGACACAAAAACCUCUGAAGACGCUGAGUGCAACUUCCUUCUUGACAAAAUGUAAGCAAAAAUGGAGUGGCAUCAGAUUUUAGCCGUUAUAUGACUUUUUGUUUUAUAUGAUUUCAUUUCUCCCGAUAUCGGUAAACUCCCACGUUUGUUUUGGUUGUAUUUACACAGAAUAUAAUCGCAUACAAGUGGACUUAUUUUAAAUGUCCCUCAGAGGCCUGAGACCAAAACGUGAGCCAGACUUACUAGAUCUUUUCUGUUUCGUUUCGUCAUCCACAACUCUAAAGGAAAUGAGAACUUCGCCAAACAGGAGAAAAGUUGGAAGGAGCCCGACUGGGCACGAUUUGUCAGACUCGACAUCUGCCGCUUCCCUUCUUCAGAGCCCCACUGUCAAAGCUAACAGCCUGUAGCAUGCAUCAGCGGAGGCGGAUAACCCCUGGUAGAUACAAGGGAACAAGGAGACAAUCAAAGGCAGUGGGCUCUACUGGAGGUGACAGUGGUCAGCUUCUGGAGGUGAUAAAGGCCUUUGAACCUGGAAGCCGCUUCGGGCCCUUCCUUUGUGUCUCCCCUGCCUCCGUUCCCCUCUGCGUCUGGCCGAAGCGGGGUCAACUUUGAUUCCGUCCUCUGGGGAUGCCGGGCAGCUCUCUUCAUCUCAGCUGGAGAUAGAGAGCUUAAGAGAGACGCAGAGCAGGAGAAGGGAUAUGUAGUCCACAUCUAUCAGAUAGCGGUCCAUCUCCGGUGGCUGCUGAGCUGCAGGACAGGGGUCAACAUGCUUGACCUCAAACACUUGACCGGGAAUUCAGGAAAAGAAAAACAAACAGAUAAGAGCAUCUGUCUGGUUGCUGACGACAGCAACCUGGCAAGCAGAGCCCUGCGGUUUUUUUUCUUUUCUUUUCUUUCCCCAUACUGUUAAAGCGUGCAGGAUACAUUUGUUUCCCAAUUUGCCCAAGUGCAGCUUAAACCGUCCCUUUGCAAGUCUAAUAACGGCCGACUUAAUUCAUAUUUCACAGCGUCGUUCAAGGCCCGUAAUCUUCACCCCAUUGAAUUUUAUGGCUCAGACCUUCAGACUCACUCCACACCGCAGCCGAGUAAAUAUGUUUCGCAAAUAGAAAAGUCUAUCCUGCGAGGAGAAACCUCCCUGAGAGACAUGCAAGAGUAAGGCUAUGGAGGAGACUCUUCCGCUCGUCGGCUGUUACCAUGGUUCACAUCACGUCUGCCGUCUUACCUCCGCGGUCGAUCGGCAUUGAAUUCAGGUCUUGACGGUUUCUGACUCUUCCCUCGUUUCGAUUACACCAAUCAUCUCUGAUUGGAGUAAAGUUCCACAUUUUAAAAUGUGACUGAAUGUGCUGGAUCCGUUUGCAGGCUUUCUGACAAAGUGAAACGAAUCACAGGGCUUUGAAUUUACUGUGGGAGAGGUGAAGGGUCGCUGGAGAGACGGGCGGGGGGGCGACCAGGUGAGCCGUGCCUGCAGGGCAGCCAUCAGUCAAGACGCAGCAGGAUGAGAACCAGAGCUCAUCACUCUCAAUCCACCAGACUCACGAAUCCCCUCUGUAUGUGUGCAUGCAGGGAAAACGAAAAUACAGUGGCUGAAAAAGGAACUUCAUAAUUAAUGCCUGUACAGUUAACAUAAAGGCAGAGUGCAGCAAGAAGUAGAGAAACGGCAAAGGGCUCCAGAUUAACAUCAUCAGCAAAUGAGGGAACUCUGCUAAAUCAGGGAUGUUGGAUGUUUGCUAGCGACACUUUGGACCUUUCGCAAUGGCAUUGCUAAAAAAAUUAAAAGGAACAAAGUGAUGUUUUUAAAUAGAAAUAUAAGAUAUACCUGUUUUAGCAGCUUUGAAACACUUUCAUGGCACAAUUGCAUUGCAUUUCCACAGUAGAAUGCCACUAAAAGUGUCAGUUAUAUUUUUUAUUUCUUUUUUUCUUGUCUUCAUGUUUGAGACUCUAAACUAGCAUUCACCACAGAUAUUUUAUUUUCUAAUAUCUGUGUUUGUUACAUUUUUUACUUGGCAAACUUUUGUUUUGUUUUGGGGCCGUGACAUGCAUUAAUGUAUAAAUAACACUUUGUUUUUCAA